CGGGGAAUAUUGCACAAUGGGCGCAAGCCUGAUGCAGCCAUGCCGCGUGUAUGAAGAAGGCCUUCGGGUUGUAAAGUACUUUCAGCGGGGAGGAAGGGAGUAAAGUUAAUACCUUUGCUCAUUGACGUUACCCGCAGAAGAAGCACCGGCUAACUCCGUGCCAGCAGCCGCGGUAAUACGGAGGGUGCAAGCGUUAAUCGGAAUUACUGGGCGUAAAGCGCACGCAGGCGGUUUGUUAAGUCAGAUGUGAAAUCCCCGGGCUCAACCUGGGAACUGCAUCUGAUACUGGCAAGCUUGAGUCUCGUAGAGGGGGGUAGAAUUCCAGGUGUAGCGGUGAAAUGCGUAGAGAUCUGGAGGAAUACCGGUGGCGAAGGCGGCCCCCUGGACGAAGACUGACGCUCAGGUGCGAAAGCGUGGGGAGCAAACAGG
rnacentral:rRNA from 1 species